AGAUGUGAAGGGGACCUGGCUGCAAUGACUGUCACACCACCGAUCACCAGGCUAAUUCAGCUGCUCUAGCUGGCUAGGUGGGUGUCCUCUUCCUCCCUCACGGUUCCAUGUGUGUCCCCCCAGGAGCCAAACUCUAGAUUGAAGAGGACCUUCUCUGAUAAAAGACCAUUCUUUACACAAGUGUAUAUGAGUAGCUGUGCUUCCCUGCCAAAAACUCCAAAUGUAAAACACCUCAUGUGCAACUCAUCAUUAAUACAGCACUGUGUGAUAUUCAGAUAGAAAUUUAGAUGUUUCCACCCUUU
ensembl:misc_RNA 7SK 7SK RNA